UUAGAGUUUGAUCCUGGCUCAGGAUGAACGCUAGCGGCAGGCCUAACACAUGCAAGUCGAGGGGCAGCACAAUGGUAGCAAUACUAUGGUGGCGACCGGCGCGCGGGUGAGUAACACGUAUGCAACCUACCUGUAAGCGGGGAAUAACCCGGAGAAAUUCGGACUAAUACCGCAUAACACUGAAUUACUGCAUGGUAAUUCAUUUAAACAUUUAUGGCUUACAGAUGGGCAUGCGUAUGAUUAGCUAGUAGGUGAGGUAACGGCUCACCUAGGCAACGAUCAUUAGGGGUUCUGAGAGGAAGGUCCCCCACACUGGUACUGAGACACGGACCAGACUCCUACGGGAGGCAGCAGUGAGGAAUAUUGGUCAAUGGGCGAGAGCCUGAACCAGCCAUGCCGCGUGCAGGAAGACGGCCCUAUGGGUUGUAAACUGCUUUUAAUUAGGAAUAACCCCCCGGAUGUAUUCGGGGCUGAAAGUACUAAAAGAAUAAGCAUCGGCUAACUCCGUGCCAGCAGCCGCGGUAAUACGGAGGAUGCAAGCGUUAUCCGGAUUUAUUGGGUUUAAAGGGUGCGUAGGCGGACCCUUAAGUCAGUGGUGAAAGUUUGCGGCUCAACCGUAAAAUUGCCAUUGAAACUGAGGGUCUUGAGUGUAAAUGAGGUAGGCGGAAUGUGUUGUGUAGCGGUGAAAUGCUUAGAUAUAACACAGAACACCAAUUGCGAAGGCAGCUUACUGGGAUACAACUGACGCUGAGGCACGAAAGCGUGGGGAUCAAACAGGAUUAGACACCCUGGUAGUCCACGCCGUAAACGAUGAUCACUUGCUGUUGGCGAUAGAUAGUCAGUGGCAAAGGGAAACCGAUAAGUGAUCCACCUGGGGAGUACGUUCGCAAGAAUGAAACUCAAAGGAAUUGACGGGGGCCCGCACAAGCGGAGGAACAUGUGGUUUAAUUCGAUGAUACGCGAGGAACCUUACCUGGGUUUGAACGCAUAUUGCAUGACACUGAAAGGUGUCUUUCCUUCGGGACUAUAUGCGAGGUGCUGCAUGGUUGUCGUCAGCUCGUGCCGUGAGGUGUCGGCUUAAGUGCCAUAACGAGCGCAACCCCCAUUGCCAGUUACCAACACGUUAAGGUGGGGACUCUGGCGAAACUGCCGGCGUAAGCUGUGAGGAAGGUGGGGAUGACGUCAAAUCAGCACGGCCCUUAUAUCCAGGGCUACACACGUGUUACAAUGGUCGGUACAGAGGGCAGCCACUUGGUGACAAGGAGCUAAUCCCAAAAGCCGGUCUCAGUUCGGAUCGAAGUCUGCAACUCGACUUCGUGAAGGUGGAUUCGCUAGUAAUCGCGCAUCAGCCAUGGCGCGGUGAAUACGUUCCCGGGCCUUGUACACACCGCCCGUCAAGCCAUGGGAGUUUGGGGCGCCUGAAGUCUGUAACCGCAAGGAGCGGCCUAGGGCGAAACAGAUGACUGGGGCUAAGUCGUAACAAGGUAACC
rnacentral:rRNA from 1 species